UACAUGUGGGGCAAGCGUUGUUCGGAAUUACUGGGCAUAAAGGGUGCGUAGGUGGUUUGUUAAGUCAGGGGCGAAAUCCCGCGGCCCAACCGUGGAACUGCCUUUGAUACUGGCGAACUUGAGUGCGUGAGGGGUAGGGGGAACGAGCAGUGUAGCGGUGAAAUGCGCAGAUAUCGGGAGGAACACCCGUAGCGAAGGCGGCACUCUGGGCCGGAACUGACGCUGAGGAGCGAAAGCGUGGGGAGCAAACAGG
rnacentral:rRNA from 1 species